GAAAAACUGCGCAAAAGUGGGCAUGCCGGCUUAAUGACUGACAUUUUGUGUGCAAUGUGGGAAUCUCUGUCCAAGUAGUGUGUGACUAGAUUGUGGGUUCUUUUUUUCUUCUUUUUUUUAGGUUGUGGCUUCUAGGUGAAGUGACAGAAGUAUGGAGCUCCUGUAUCUCCCACAGAGCUGGGUGAUGAUUCCAGUUUCGAAGAGCCGCAGACCGUCCAGAGGCACAGGCAGGGCUGCAGAAAGAAUUGGACAGGAAGACCUUGAAAGGGCUGAGAGGCUGGCUGAGAUGAAGGCUAAAUUGCAAGUGCUGUCGUUUGAAGAAAGGGGAGAGGUGCUUCCCAUCUACCUGGAGUGAUUUUUGACAUCAUGUACCGGAGAGCUAUCUCGGGUCUCCGGACAACCUCGCUGGUGCACCUGCAUGAAUUGCAGCGAGACUCCUGCACCUUACAACACACAACUGCUGCCAUUUCACCAUUGAAAUAUUACAUGUAAUUAUUAUGUUUACAUAACAGGUUAAGACUUUCAACGACUACACUGUACUUUAUUCAUUGAGGAGACUCUCUCCACGCAGACACACUAUUGGUGUGGCACUACUGGUUGUGGCAUUUUGUGGUUGGUUUGUUUUGACACCUCCCAACACCCCCCAUAACCCCCAUCUAUGCAUGCAACCACUCAUUUACACUGUGAGCAUUCUUAAAAUCUCUAAUGUCAAGGAAGUCUCUAGUUUUUGCUUGCCUGAGUUAGAAUA